AUUGAACGCUGGCGGCAUGCUUUACACAUGCAAGUCGAACGGUAACAGGCCGCCAGGUGCUGCCGAGUGGCGAACGGGGGAGUAAUGCAUCGGAACGUGCCCAGUCGUGGGGGAUAACUACUCGAAAGAGUAGCUAAUACCGCAUACGAUCUAUGGUUGAAAGCGGGGGACCGUAAGGCCUCGCGCGAUUGGAGCGGCCGAUGUCAGAUUAGGUAGUUGGUGGGGUAAAGGCUGACCAAGCCAACGAUCUGUAGCUGGUCUGAGAGGACAACCAGCCACACUGGGACUGAGACACGGCCCAGACUCCUACGGGAGGCAGCAGUGGGGAAUCUUGGACAAUGGGCGCAAGCCUGAUCCAGCAAUGCCGCGUGCAGGAAGAAGGCCUUCGGGUGGUAAACUGCUUUUGUCCGGAACGAAACGGCGCUGGUUAAUACCCGGGGCUAAUGACGGUACCGGAAGAAUAAGCACCGGCUAACUACGUG
rnacentral:rRNA from 1 species